UACGGGGUGGGCAAGCGUUGUUCGGAAUUACUGGGCGUAAAGGGCUCGUAGGCGGCCAACUAAGUCGGAUGUGAAAUCCCCAGGCUCAACUUGAGAACUGCAUCCGAUACUGGAUGGCUUGAAUUCGGGAGAGGGAUGCAGAAUUCCAGGUGUAGCGGUGAAAUGCGUAGAUAUCUGGAGGAAUACCGGUGGCAAAGGCGGCAUCCUGGACCGACAUUGACGCUGAGGAGCGAAAGCUAGGAGAGCAAACGGG
rnacentral:rRNA from 1 species